AAAUUGAAGAGUUUGAUCAUGGCUCAGAUUGAACGCUGGCGGCAGGCCUAACACAUGCAAGUCGAACGGUAACAGGAAGCAGCUUGCUGCUUUGCUGACGAGUGGCGGACGG
rnacentral:rRNA from 6 species